AUUGCGUUUCGUGGUGAUUUGGCCGGCCGGCUUGCAGCCACGUUAAACAACUCGCUAAAUGGCCGACGGGGCGCGUUC
rnacentral:ncRNA from 1 species